rnacentral:rRNA from 2 species
UAAUGUUUGAUGUUCUAACGUGGACCCGUAAUCCGGGUUGCGGACAGUGUCUGGUGGGUAGUUUGACUGGGGCGGUCUCCUCCUAAAGAGUAACGGAGGAGCACGAAGGUUGGCUAAUCCUGGUCGGACAUCAGGAGGUUAGUGCAAUGGCAUAAGCCAGCUUGACUGCGAGCGUGACGGCGCGAGCAGGUGCGAAAGCAGGUCAUAGUGAUCCGGUGGUUCUGAAUGGAAGGGCCAUCGCUCAACGGAUAAAAGGUACUCCGGGGAUAACAGGCUGAUACCGCCCAAGAGUUCAUAUCGACGGCGGUGUUUGGCACCUCGAUGUCGGCUCAUCACAUCCUGGGGCUGAAGUAGGUCCCAAGGGUAUGGCUGUUCGCCAUUUAAAGUGGUACGCGAGCUGGGUUUAGAACGUCGUGAGACAGUUCGGUCCCUAUCUGCCGUGGGCGCUGGAGAACUGAGGGGGGCUGCUCCUAGUACGAGAGGACCGGAGUGGACGCAUCACUGGUGUUCGGGUUGUCAUGCCAAUGGCACU